GACGAACGCUGGCGGCGUGCUUAACACAUGCAAGUCGAACGGAAAGGCCCUGCUUUUGUGGGGUGCUCGAGUGGCGAACGGGUGAGUAACACGUGAGUAACCUGCCCUUGACUUUGGGAUAACUUCAGGAAACUGGGGCUAAUACCGGAUAGGAGCUCCUGCUGCAUGGUGGGGGUUGGAAAGUUUCGGCGGUUGGGGAUGGACUCGCGGCUUAUCAGCUUGUUGGUGGGGUAGUGGCUUACCAAGGCUUUGACGGGUAGCCGGCCUGGGAGGGUGACCGGCCACAUAGGGACUGGGAUACGGCCCAGACUCCUACGGGAGGCAACAGUGGGGAGUAUUGCACAAUGGGCGGAAGCCGGAUGCAGCAACGCCGCGUGCGGGAUGACGGCCUUCGGGUUGUAAACCGCUUUCGCCUGUGACGAAGCGUGAGGGACGGUAAUGGGUAAAGAAGCACCGGCUAACUACGU
rnacentral:rRNA from 1 species